GGGAGCCGUCUCCUUCGGCAGGCGGGGCGCGUGCGUGCGUGGUGGCUUCCCGCCUUCCUUCUUCCCGCCGCGGGGGCGAGCGCCCUGCCUGAGAAGGAUGCUCUGUGUCCUAGUGAGUGUAACAGUGGAGGAAAACUAACUGUGUGAACAGAUGGAGAACCAAAAUUUAGCACACCUUCCUUAGAGUUAACCGAAGGGUAACUGAUGUGUUGAUCAAGAUCAGCUAUAACAAAUGGCAAAGAGAAUUACGAGGAGGAUCCUGAGCACAUAAGCUACUGAUAAAUGCACCAGGAGUGUUAUCAAACAUUAUGAAACAAUGAUACAAGGAUCAUCAGCUCGAGGAGAUGCUGAUUUUUCAGAGGCUGAGAUCUUUCAGAGUCACUGGGACUCCUGGCAGAACCUGUUCCUGUCACCACCUCACCCAGCUUACUGUGAUCGUGGGCAAGAAAGGGGGACUCACAGCUUGGAAGAAGGUAGAACUCAGCUGCUAGGGAAGUACUUCACUCUUCAUUAUACU